rnacentral:rRNA from 1 species
UACGCUGGCGGCACGCCUAACACAUGCAAGUCGAACGAAGUAGCAAUACUUAGUGGCAGACGGGUGAGUAACAUGUAGGUAUCUGCCCUAUGGCCUGGAAUAACACGAGGAAACUUGUGCUAAUACCGGAUAAGUCUUUACAGAGAAAGCUUUACGCACCAUUGGAUGAGCCUGCACUUGAUUAGUUUGUUGGUAGGGUAAUGGCCUACCAAGACUGUGAUCAAUAGCUGAUUUGAGAGGAUGAUUAGCCACAUUGGGACUGAGACACGGCCCAAACUCCUACGGGAGGCAGCAGUGGGGAAUCUUGCACAAUGGAGGAAACUCUGAUGCAGCGAUGCCGCGUGAGUGAAGAAGGCCCUUGGGUUGUAAAGCUCUUUCGUCGGGGAAGAAAAUGACUGUACCCGAAUAAGAAG